rnacentral:rRNA from 1 species
GACGAACGCUGGCGGCGUGCCUAAUACAUGCAAGUCGAACGCUUUUGUUUUCACCGGAGCUUGCUCCACCGAAAACAAAAGAGUGGCGGACGGGUGAGUAACACGUGGGUAACCUGCCCAUAAGAGGGGGAUAACAUCCGGAAACGGUGCUAAUACCGCAUAGGUUUCUUGGUCGCAUGAUCGAGAAAGGAAGACGGCCUUUGUGCUGUCGCUUAUGGAUGGACCCGCGGCGUAUUAGUUAGUUGGUGAGGUAACGGCUCACCAAGACGAUGAUACGUAGCCGACCUGAG